GCGCGGCUUCCGCCGUGCACGUACUAAAAUUGGCACGAUACAGAGAGAUUAGCCUGGCCCCUGCACAAGGAUGAUAAGCAGAUUCACGAAGCGUUCCUCAUUAAA
ensembl:snRNA U6 U6 spliceosomal RNA